rnacentral:misc_RNA from 1 species
GUAAUUUAGAGCAUCUUAUGAACAACUUCAUCUUUCAACUAAACAACAGACAAACUAAAAGCUUUUUCAUUUUAAUUAUGUAACAGACAAACAACUGGAGCUUCAAUGAAUCCAGUAAGAACACUGGGGCCAGCCAUUGCUGCAAACAACUUUAGAGCCAUUUGGAUUUACCUCACAGCUCCCAUACUAGGGACAUUGUGUGGAGCUGGAAUCUACACUGCAGUUAAGUUGCCCG